GAUGAACGCUAGCUACAGGCUUAACACAUGCAAGUCGAGGGGCAGCAUGGAAGAAGCUUGCUUCUUCUGAUGGCGACCGGCGCACGGGUGCGUAACGCGUAUCAAACCUGCCUCAUACUCGGGGAUAGCCUUGCGAAAGUAAGAUUAAUACCCGAUGUUGUUAUGUUACCGCAUGGUGAUAUAACCAAAGAUUUAUCGGUAUGAGAUGGUGAUGCGUCCGAUUAGGCAGUAGGCGGGGUAACGGCCCACCUAGCCUUCGAUCGGUAGGGGUUCUGAGAGGAAGGUCCCCCACACUGGAACUGAGACACGGUCCAGACUCCUACGGGAGGCAGCAGUGAGGAAUAUUGGUCAAUGGACGAAAGUCUGAACCAGCCAAGUAGCGUGCAGGAUGACGGCCCUCUGGGUUGUAAACUGCUUUUAGUUGGGAAUAAAAAAGAGGACGUGUCCUCUAUUGUAUGUACCUUCAGAAAAAGGACCGGCUAAUUCCGUGCCAGCAGCCGCGGUAAUACGGAAGGUCCAGGCGUUAUCCGGAUUUAUUGGGUUUAAAGGGAGCGUAGGCGGAUUAUUAAGUCAGUGGUGAAAGACGGUGGCUCAACCAUCGUUAGCCAUUGAAACUGGUAGUCUUGAGUGCAGACAGGGAUGCUGGAACUCGUGGUGUAGCGGUGAAAUGCUUAGAUAUCACGAUGAACUCCGAUCGCGAAGGCAGGUGUCCGGGCUGCAACUGACGCUGAGGCUCGAAAGUGUGGGUAUCAAACAGG
rnacentral:rRNA from 1 species